rnacentral:rRNA from 1 species
UACAGAGGUCUCAAGCGUUGUUCGGAUUCAUUGGGCGUAAAGGGUGCGUAGGUGGCGGGGUAAGUCAGGUGUGAAAUCUCGGGGCUCAACCCCGAAACUGCACUUGAUACUGCCUUGCUCGAGUACUGGAGAGGAGAUUGGAAUUUACGGUGUAGCAGUGAAAUGCGUAGAUAUCGUAAGGAAGACCAGUGGCGAAGGCGAAUCUCUGGGCCGGUACUGACGCUGAGGAGCGAAAGCGUGGGGAGCGAACAGG